rnacentral:rRNA from 1 species
UGGGGAAUAUUGCACAAUGGGCGAAAGCCUGAUGCAGCGACGCCGCGUGAGGGAUGACGGCCUUCGGGUUGUAAACCUCUUUCAGCAGGGACGAAGCGCAAGUGACGGUACCUGCAGAAGAAGCACCGGCUAACUACGUGCCAGCAGCCGCGGUAAUACGUAGGGUGCAAGCGUUGUCCGGCAUUACUGGGCGUAAAGAGUUCGUAGGCGGUUUGUCGCGUCGUUUGUGAAAACCAGCAGCUCAACUGCUGGCUUGCAGGCGAUACGGGCAGACUUGAGUACUGCAGGGGAGACUGGAAUUCCGGGUGUAGCGGUGAAAUGCGCAGAUAUCAGGAGGAACACCGGUGGCGAAGGCGGGUCUCUGGGCAGUAACUGACGCUGAGGAACGAAAGCGUGGGUAGCGAACAGG